GGGUUCUGGACAGACCUACGCUGUCGGGGAGUGUUUACUUCGCCUCCACUUCUGUUCCUCCCCGCCCUGGUGCUGCUCCAGGUCACAUACUCUUCCUGAGCCGGCUUCAGCCUCUCCGCGCAGAAGUCUCCCGGAGCCAUGGCCUAGUAUUCUUAUGUGAAGUCUACCAAGCUUGUGCUCAAGGGAACCGAGUAAGAAGAAAAAGAGCAAAGAUAAGAAGAGAAAAAGAGAAGAUGAAGAAACCCAGCUUGAUAUGUUGAGGAACGCAGCUGCUCACCAGCAACGGAACAAAGCUGGACGGAGAAUGACUUUGAAGAGCUGAGAGAAGGCUUCAGACGAUCAAAUUACUCUGAGCUACGGGAGGACAUUCAAACCAAAGGCAAAGAAGUUGAAAACUUUGAAAAAAAUAAAUGUACAUUAAUUAACGUGGAAUCUGGUGAACAGUAACAAACUUUGGUGAAAUUUCAGGAACCAUAGCCAUUGAAGUGGAUGAGGGAACCUAUAUACAUGCACUCAACAAUGGUCUUUUUACCCUGGGAGCUCCACACAAAGAAGAAUCGCCCUGAAACCUGGCUAUGGAAAAUAUCUUAGUAUAAAUUCAGAUGAACUUGUUGUUGGCGUUCAGAUGCAAUUGGACCAAGAGAACAAUGGGAACCAGUCUUUCAAAAUCUUAUUUUGGGAGAGGCCAGCUGCCAUGUCAUGAAGACACUCAAGAAGCCCUGUGAAGAGGAAGCAAGGCCUGCCAACAACAGCCAGCACCAACUUUCCAGCCAAGGGAUUGAGCCAUCUCACAGUGGAUCCUCCAGCCCCCACCAAGCCUUCAUAUGACCAAACCAAUACCAACAUGUAACUGUGACCUCAUGUGAGUCCCCAAGCCAGAAUACCCAUCUCCUGUCUCAGAAAUGAUGAGAAAUAAUAAAUAUAUGUGCUCACACA
rnacentral:lncRNA from 1 species